GGAAAUCACACCACUAUUUGUCCCGCUGUAUGUCUUUUCUAAGGGGGUGAACUAGUCUCCCAGAGUAUCUCAAAACCAGAAGUCUCUAGAAAUUGCUGUUCAGGACUUAAGAAUACAGGGUUCACUUGAAUAGUUGCAAUGCUGUCUUAACUGUUAUCCCUCUGAAUCUAAUCCAAGAAUCUGGUUUUAGUUUUUAUGCUUACACACUUUAACUGUAUUUAUAAGAUAUUUUAACUGUAUAAGAUAGAUUCAUACUAUUUCUUUCAGCUGAUGAAGUAGUGUGCCCCUUUUUAAUCUGGUAAGAGCAGCUUGUAGGGGGAAAAAAAAGUUGUUUUUUUUUAAAUAUGUAAACUGUAGAUUCAGGGGGUGCACGAGUUAAAUCUGGGUUUCUUUAACUAUUGCAUGUAGCUCCAGUGACUGAUAAAUAUACAUACAGGUAUUCCUUAUGAAGCCAGUGACUGAUAAAUGUUCAAGAUCUUUCAUGAUUGUAAACAUAUUCAAGUGAACCUUAAUUAUUUCUAAAAUUAAUCCAGCAUUUUCUAUAAAACACACAAAAGUUCUGUUGUAUGGCUUUUCUUUUACUGCCAAUAUGUAUUGCAUUAAAGAAAAAAAAAACCCAAUGAAACCCCACAAACAAAAAACCAAACAUAAAACCAAAAACUGAACAGAAGGUGGCUAGAAAGCAAAUCUAUUGCAUUGUGAAGAAUUUGUCGGUUGUGAGGGCUGGUGGCUUAAAGUGUGGUUGUAUACAGUGUAUUGUGACUUAUUGUCCAUUUUUAGAGGGAACUUCACUAAAGAUAGAUCUGCCAAAUAGUUCAAUUACAAAUGUAUCCACUUUCAAAAAGUUAAGGAUUCUUUUGUUUAUGAAACAUGAGUCCUAGUUAUUUCAAUUACUCCUAGGUACUCUUGAUAUACAUAUUCAUUGCUUGUAUUCUCUGAGGUUGGAAAACUCUUCAUGAGAAGGUAAUGUCACUCACCUGGCUUUUACUUUUCACGGCAAAGUUGUAGCCUAUUUUCAGGUAUCUUUCUUUAAGAUAUUUGCAUCUUGAAUACACAAAUAUUACAACAGGAUCAUUAGGUUAGGUCAGUCUUGGUUUCUACUAGGAGCAAUUAGCUUUCUGAUCGCAUUUCAGUGAGUCAGUUUUAAGUAAUGAACUUAAAUUCACAUCUCCAGGUAUACUCUUGAGUAGGUAUCUGUCUAGAUCUGGGGUACCUGAAAUUGUAGCUGAUGGCCAGACUGUCACAUACAGAAUGUAGGCAGUUGGGUGCAAUUAGCAAUUUACGUAACUAGUACAGUCUUGAAAACUGGAUGUUCUAACUGUGGUUGCAACCAUACUUUGAACUAAAUGGUGCGGUUUAUAACAACUUCUCUGGCAUCAAUCAUGCAGUAAAUACAGUAGCAAAAUCAGAAUACUGACUUUAAAUAACAGUUUUUAUUGCUGUAUUGACUGUCUCAUUGGAACAGUAGUUUAACAGUGUAUAAUUUGUUCCAUUAAUACAAGGGAACAUACCUGACCACUGUACUGACAAGCACGUUACCUUGGGGAAAAAUUGUUUUUUAGGCUUGGACGAUUUCUUUCUUUGAUCCAUUAACUGUCUUGCUACCAUCAAACUCACAGAAUUUAAGAUCUUAUUGCACCAGCAACCAAUGAUUAAAACACCAAUUUUAUACAAGUUUGUACCAAAUGCUAUUACAACAUGCUGUGGAACUACAUGUGUACAGUGAAAGCAAGGAGGAUUAUUUUUGAGCUUUAUUUAGCCUAGGAAUAGAGUUUAAAGAAUAUUAAUUUGUGACUUCAGCCUUGAACUUAAAUGGUAAAUGGUGUGGAUUUGAAUCCAAGAGUUUUUUCAAAUGUCUUUUACUGCUUAUUAACAGGAUUUGCUUUUCUUGUUACUAUCUUUUGGUCUGUUUUCAUUUCAUGUAGGGUUCUUGUUCGCUGUUCUCAUGUUUCGUAGCCCUUUAUGUGGAAGCGUAUACAUGUCUUAUUUCAAAAGUACUUAAGUAAUUUCAAAUUAAGUCUGACCUUUGUUUUGUUCCUUAUACAACAUCAUUUGCAGAAGUCAGUACUCAAAUUGAUCAUUUACCAUGUCAUGAAUGCUACUUAGUUAAACAUAGCAACAGGUAGGCCCAAGUUGCAGCUUCUCUGCUUUAAGCGAUCAUUAUGAAACUUUCCAAAAGGAUACACUUCCAGGUGAUAGUAGAUGUUUUCUAAACUAGUGAUAUGCUGUUUAUGAAUCUUAAGAAAGCUGUAUAACUAUUCUGGAGUAUUGUACUGAAAUCUUGUUACUGUCAGUUUUCCCUUUUCUUUAGUACUGUCUUGGCAGCUUUUGAAAUGUUUGAAGUAGUAAUUAAACUUAUAUUUUGUGAUUA